CUGCGCGGUGCUUGCCCGGGAGGCGGGUGGCUUGCGAGCCGCGCGACAGCCCCACGGCUCGCGAGCCGCCUCCUAGCUCGGACCCGCAGUCCGGCCUCCGCCCAACCUUCCCCCUCCGCUUUCAAGAGCCCUAAUGGGCGGUUUGGACUUCUUGGUGGCACUGCGUACUAAGCCAGUGUCACCCUCUGACUCCUGUCCCGGCACGCGUGAUCUUGUUUAGGAACUAGUCAUUUUGCGCUCAGUUCGGUUGAAUGAGAUUGUCUUUUUCCUACGAAGAGUGGGUUGGCAGCGCAGACUUGUGAGAGGAAGUAGACGAAAAAGAGUGACCAUCUUGGGCACUUGCUUAGCCCGAAUGUGAGAAUAAUUCUGGAAAGUACUCUCUGGCACCAGGGGAUGGGCAGAAGCUGGCUCCUGUAAAAGGACUCCCCGGAGGAAAACGGAGACCUGUAAUGUAGAGCCAUCGCUUCGCCUUACGCCUUACGAAUGGGAAGCUGAGGACAGUCGUCGCUGUAAAACUCUGACAGGUGCCUAAUUUGAGAUGAAAAGAAAAGGGGAAAUGGUCCUUCCUUAGGCCGUUAUGUGAUAAGGGGGUAAGCAUAAAUCGAGAGAAGUCCGGCGAGAACACCGGGCAGGCAGGGGCAUGGUGAGCCUCAGGGGAAACGUCGGAGCAUCCUGGGGAGGUGACAUGCCUAACUCCUGCAGAGGAGUGCAAGAAAAGCAUUCUUUAUCCAGACUGAGGUGGUGGAAUGUGGGCAACGGUGAGGGCAGAAGAGUUCAGAGUUGAAGAUUGGAGUCAGGAGAUGUUCAGCAGCUUUUCCGUGCUGUUGGGAUUUUUGUUUGUUUGUUUGUUUGUUUUUGUCUUCGAAGCUCUAGGAAAGAACCACCCCUUUCUAGUAAGCUGUGUGAGACAGAGAUGAAGAAGAAUUUUUGUAUGAGAAACACGAAAGUUUUCGUUGUCUAAAAGAGGCCAAAGAGGGCAUUGGAUCACCUGAAGCUGGAGUUACAGGUAGUUGUGAGCUGCUGGAGGUGGAUGCCGGAAACUGAACUGAGAUCCUCUGGAAAUGGAAAGUCUUUUUAAUGGCCUUCUCUGCUCAGUGAUCUGUGUGGGCAUUGAUACAAAGAGUAUCAUAACUAAUCUGGCUCAGUGAUUUGGUUCUCCUGACUCUAAGGAAGUUAAAGAUUUAAACUCAAUGCUAACCUCAAUUACUUUUGGGUAGAUCUGAAAGUCUGGAUCCUAAAUGUGUAUGAAGCAUCAAAGCCAGAAGCAGCAGGUCAAUGGUUAAUAAAUGCUACCAACUAACACGAAUGAGCCAUUUCUGUCGUUCAGCUGGAUCCCAUGUCUAGAAAUGGAAUUCAUCCACACAGAAGGCAGAGGGAAGGAAAUGGAGUUUUGAACUCUGCUUUUUCUCCAGUAUAAGAGGAAAGGUAUUUUACAUAUCCAUUUUUAACCCUCUAAACUAGAGGCAGUAUAGCCAUUUUCUGAACACCGGAGGGCAGUGUAGGCGCCUCUGACCUACACCCAGCCACAGCACCAAGUUGGUCCCCCAGCACAUGGCAUUUGUAUUAGUUCAUUUUGUAGUACUUUUACUUAUUCCAAAGUACUGGCUCUGUGAACCCACACUGUCUGCCACAAUUCUUAACAACUCGAAGGCAGGCUGCUUUAGAAUUUCAGUAUAACUGCUGUAUGGCCUGCCAGGGAGCUCGCACACUGUCUGCUUCCUCUUCUCAGCAGAGCCUGUGAGUUGAAUGAGGAAUACUGUUUCCAAUUCUGCAGUUCCAGUGCUGUUAGUUCUAAACAAAACUGAGAAAACUUUGUUUUCUUUUUGGAGAAAGGGUCUCUCUAUUAUGCUGGCCUCUAGAGAUCAGCCUGCCUCUGCAACUGAGUGCUAGACUCAAAAGGCACGUGCUACCACAGCUAUUAAAACUCCAAUUUUUUUUUCCCCAGACAGGAUUUCUCUGUAUAGCCCUGGCUGUCCCGGAACUCACUCUGUAGACCAGGCUGGCCUCCAACUCAACCCGCC